rnacentral:misc_RNA from 1 species
AGUUUAUUGAUUGCGAUUAGAUUAUGGCAAUUCUCUUUUCAACGAUAGAGAAUGCAAUAUAAAAACUCAAUCCAUCAUUCAAGAUGCCCAUAUCCCAUUAAAGCAUCUUUCUACAUUUCCGUUUCUGAAUCGAACAACUUGCCUUUAUGCUCAGAUAAGACGUAAAAUAUAUGUAUACCAGCAUAGCCAAGAGAAGGAAAAGAAAAAAGAAGAGAGAGUGAGUGGUACUGCUAAACAGACGCCAGAAGAGAGCCCGAGAUUCCAAUCUCUCGACUUCUCUCUGGAAUUCCCCAUCCCCAGAAACUGACUGCUAUAAGAAGACAACGGUACUAGACAUCACAGUGAUGUAAAAUAUGACUUCGUAAUGUAGGAACAUGUAAAGUUUGCAUAAUUGUUAUUAUCGUACACAUCGAUAUCACAUAUCAAUGUUAGGUCAAAUUAAAAAUAGUAAAAGUCAAAUUAAAAAUGAGUUUUAGAAAUUUUUGUCGAAGACGAAUGUUUUAGAAGUUUUGGAGACUAUGAGAAUUUAAUGUUAACGAAUCGGGUAAUGCAUAUUUUAUUCGAUGAGCUAAAGAUUUUUAAUUUUAGAAAUUAAAAAAUUCGAAAAGUUGAAAAUUGAGAAAUUGAAAAACUUCAAAAUUCGGAAAUUUGGAAAUUUGAAAGUUUAAGAAUUCGGAAAUUUGAAAUUUUGAAAAUUCGAAAAGUUGGAAAUUUAAAAAAUUGAAAAAUUCAAAGAGUCAAAAAAGAGCCCGAGAUUCCGAUAUUCUAACUUCUCCGUGGAAUUUCCCCUUCUCCAGGAUAUGAUAUUUACGAGAAGGAAACGACACCAGCAUCCACAUGCACUAUGAUUAGACAUUACAGUAGUCUAAAACUUGACCUCGAUCAGCGACCUCGAUGAGUCUUCCUCUUGUCCACCUUUCCCUGAUUUCUUUUCGUAGUUCGAUUUAACUUGAUCUACCGUUUGGAUGUAAACUAAGCUUAAACGAUGUAUCCCAGUCAAUUACAUGAUCUCUGUAAUUUAACUUAAUAUUAGUAUCCCGUAGAGAUAAGAACAUAGUGAAAAUUUGUGAAAAGUAUAGUAGCAAUUGCACGAAGUAAUUGUAAUGAUUUU